rnacentral:lncRNA from 1 species
UCUGACUCAGUCUGGCUAUUCUUAUGUUCUGUGUUCCCCUGUUACUGAGCCGCCCUCUCCCUGUUGCAGAAACAGACGGCAGCCGAGAGGCAGAAGAUCGUCAGGGAGUGGCAGGAGCUGCGAGGGUGUCUGGAGGAGCAGGAACAGCGUCUGCUGGCCCGGCUGGAAGAGCUAGAGAGAGCCAUUGUCCAGAGAAGGGAUGAGGGCGUCUGCAGCCUGUCGUGGGAGAUUUCCCUGCUCAGCGAGAGGGGAGGAGAGAAGGGGCAGCAGCCGCUGAGCCAACCCCUGCAGGGUGUUGGGAGCACUGGGGGCAGGGAGGACAGGACAUUUCGGAAGCUAGAGCCGUCGUUUGCGGAGCUGGAGAAGAGACUCAGCGAUUUUUCUCUGAAAAGUGCCAUGCUGCAGGAGGUGGUGCUGAGAUUCAAAGAGACGCUGCGACGGGGGCUGGGGAGCGACACAGCCAUCCCGAUGAUGAUUAAUUUCUGGGAAACAUCCUCAGCAGAAUUAUUUGAAGGUGUUGUACCAGACAGUAAAGGCACAGAGGCAGUGGCUUGUGGGAAAGAGGGUAAGUUUCAUUACUAAUCCUGCUCUUAAAAAGAGGCUCUUUUUAGAAAACUAGUUUAACUUACAAGCACUGAGAGACUUUAAGAAAGUCACUAAUCACGAGAGCAAUGGGUCCCUUUGGAACAUAUUUUAACUGACAAGCCCUUAGAGCCUUUCUGAGAAACAGGAUAGAACUAUGGUCAAAAUGAAGUGCAAAUUAAUGAACGUGCAUCAUGAGGAGAAAGAGAAGGGAACACAAAUUAAAAUAUAAUGAAAACAAAGCCUCUCAGAAAGGAACUGUUAUCAGUUUAGUAGCAGUGUUGCCAUGUCAGGGGUGAGGUGGGAGAUGAUUUUCUCUUCCCACCCCAUCGCUUUUUAAAAGUCUCAAAAGGAAUAAAAGUAGGUGGCAUAGUUAAUUUUGUAUUAUUUUGUUUACUAAUUAAAUCCAUGUCCCUAAGGCCAAAUUUGGCCUAGGUAACUUUGUUGCCACAUUUUCUUGUUUACCAAGCAGAGGGCUUAGUACUGGCCCUGAACUACAUCAUUAGCCCCCUUUUUGUUUGGACUAAUUUAAUUUUCUGUAGUUGGUCGUCUUGCACCUGUGCAUGGCAUUCAUGGCUGAAAAGAAUUUAACCUACUUUUCAUCAACUUGUUGCUGUAGGGUAUUGUAAGAUCUUAUGAACUUUUGUCGUCUUUUUACAGUGAAGUAAGGCAGAGAGUUCAAAACGUGGGUGUUACUGGAAUUAACAGUUCCCAGGGUUGGUCCAUGUAUGCCAUUGCACUGGGCUCAUUCACGCUUUGUCCGGGUACCAUGUAGCACUCUCUUCCCAUGCGUAGUCAAU